rnacentral:rRNA from 1 species
CAGUCGCCACGGGAAUACGUAGGUGGCAAGCGUUGUCCGGAAUUAUUGGGCGUAGAGGGCUCGCAGGCGGUUUCUUAAGUCUGAUGUGAAAGCCCCCGGCUCAACCGGGGAGGGUCAUUGGAAACUGGGAAACUUGAGUGCAGAAGAGGAGAGUGGAAUUCCACGUGUAGCGGUGAAAUGCGUAGAGAUGUGGAGGAACACCAGUGGCGAAGGCGACUCUCUGGUAUGUAACUGACGCUGAGGAGCGAAAGCGUGGGGAGCGAACAGGAUUAGAUACCCCCGUAGUCCCUGUCUCUUAUAA